CCAGCAGCCGCGGUAAUACGGAGGAUCCAAGCGUUAUCCGGAAUCAUUGGGUUUAAAGGGUCCGUAGGUGGAUUAGUAAGUCAGAGGUGAAAUCCUGCAGCUCAACUGUAGAACUGCCUUUGAUACUGCUAGUCUUGAGUCAUUAUGAAGUGGUUAGAAUGUGUAGUGUAGCGGUGAAAUGCAUAGAUAUCAUAAAGAACACCUAUUGCGAAGGCAGCUUGCUGGACUUGAAUUGAC
rnacentral:rRNA from 12 species